UACGGGGGGGGCAAGCGUUGUUCGGAAUUACUGGGCGUAAAGGGCUCGUAGGCGGCCAACUAAGUCAGACGUGAAAUCCCUCGGCUUAACCGGGGAACUGCGUCUGAUACUGGUUGGCUUGAAUCCGGGAGAGGGAUGUGGAAUUCCAGGUGUAGCGGUGAAAUGCGCAGAUAUCAGGAGGAACACCGGUGGCGAAGGCGGGUCUCUGGGCCGAUAUUGACGCUGAGGAGCGAAAGCGUGGGGAGCGAACAGG
rnacentral:rRNA from 1 species